rnacentral:rRNA from 1 species
AUGAGAUUUCUUUCUACGUAUAUGAAGGAUAGAAAUAUGCUAUUUGCUGCUAUUACAACGAAUCAACCAAUUCGUAGUAAGUGUUCCCGUCUUCCUGAUCUACAUGAUUUUUUCCCAACCAACAUCUCUCAGAACUUUGCUAUAAUGCCAAACUUGGAUAUAACGCCAACGCCUGAGCGAAUUGCCGGCGUCACAAUAGUUUUACAAAUAGAAGAGUAUUUGGGCCAAAAUGAGUCCGAACAGGGAGCAGUCAAUUUAGCUAGAACAGUAUUGGGAGCCCGCCACCGAAAUGGCGAAACUUGGCAGGGCAUAUUAGAGGAUAUUCGGGCGGGUGGUGGUAUGGAUAAUUUUAUCCAGAAUAUGCCUGGUGCCUACCCGGAAACCCCAUUGGAUCAAUUUGCCAUUAUCCCAAUAAUUGAUCUUCAUGUGGGCAACUUUUAUUUAUCAUUUACAAAUGAAGUCUUGUAUAUGCUGCUCACUGUCGUUUUGGUCGGAGGUGGAAAGUCAGUGCCAAAUGCAUGGCAAUCCUUGGUCGAGCUUAUUUAUGAUUUCGUGCUGAACCUGGUAAACGAACAAAUAGGUGGUCUUUCCGGAAAUGUGAAACAAAAGUUUUUCCCUCGCAUCUCGGUCACUUUUACUUUUUCGUUAUUUCGUAAUCCCCAGGGUAUGAUACCCUUUAGCUUCACAGUGACAAGUCAUUUUCUCAUUACUUUGGCUCUUUCAUUUUCCAUUUUUAUAGGCAUUACGAUCGUUGGAUUUCAAAGACAUGGGCUUCAUUUUUUUAGCUACUUAUUACCUGCGGGAGUCCCACUGCCGUUAGCACCUUUCUUAGUACUCCUUGAGCUAAUCUCUUAUUGUUUUCGUGCAUUAAGCUUAGGAAUACGUUUAUUUGCUAAUAUGAUGGCCGGUCAUAGUUUAGUAAAGAUUUUAAGUGGGUUUGCUUGGACUAUGCUAUUUCUGAAUAAUAUUUUCUAUUUCAUAGGAGAUCUUGGUCCCUUAUUUAUAGUUCUAGCAUUAACUGGUCUGGAAUUAGGUGUAGCUAUAUCACAAGCUCAUGUUUCUACGAUCUCAAUUUGUAUUUACUUGAAUGAUGCUACAAAUCUCCAUCAAAAUGAGUCAUUUCAUAAUUGA